ACAAACUGGUUUCCGUGCCCUUCACACUGAGGCCCCUCAUCUGCAGCUGGAGGCAGCUCUCUGCUCAGCUUGCAGUGCACAGUGACACAGGCUGGCGACAUUGUCAUUAAGCACCAACUUCUCUUACAUCGAGGCAGAAGGAGAGAGCCGUUUCAGAACCGCAGCUAGCCAUGAGCAGGCAAAGACCCCAUUGACGCACACAAUUAAUAUCCUAUCCUGUCUUUAUUUACAAGAUAAUGGAAGUCAAGAGAAAUUAAGUAAUUUGCUCUAAGUGAAACAUCCGACAUCUGGCAUUACGGAGGAUGGAAACCAGACUCUCACAGACAAAAAGCAAGUAUUUUACCAUUAAACCAGACCUGCGAUUCUACCUUUUAAAGGAACGACUUAUAAAACACCGAAUGCAGACGUCAUCUGUAAACUGGUGACCUGUCGAAAUUUCGAGUGAUCCAU